rnacentral:rRNA from 1 species
AUACGUAGGGGGCUAGCGUUAUCCGGAUUCACUGGGCUUAAAGGUUCCGUAGGCGGCCUGGUAAGUCAGUGGUGAAAGCCCUCGGCUUAACCGAGGAACUGCCAUUGAUACUGCCAGACUUGAGUGCGGUCGACGGGGGCGGAAUGCAGCAUGUAGCGGUGAAAUGCGUAGAUAUGCUGCAGAACACCAAUUGCGAAGGCAGCUCCCGAGCCCGCUACUGACGCUGAGGGACGAAAGCGUGGGGAGCAAACAGGAUUAGAAACCCGAGUAGUCC